UGGGGGCUCCGGUGUGCUCAACCUGCACCUCUGCUCUGGGGGGGGGGGCGGCGAGGUUCACAAGUUGCACUUCCCGCCGCCCUGCCGGAGCCACGAAACGAAGGUCCGAUAAUCUUUUUUUAUAACAACGCGAGUGUGUGUGUGAGUGUGUGUGCGUGUGUGUGGGGGGGGGGGUAUUUUUUCCCACCCCUCCGGGUUCCUGCGUGUCCGCCGCCCCACUCGUGUCAGCAGGGCAGAAAGGGGACGGUGCGCGGGCCGGGGCUCCCACAACGCCUUGCUGCGGGACCUUACAAUGAAAUUCAAGCAGUUUUUUUUUUCGUUUCGGCGCCAUUUUCGAUUGGGCUGGAGCCCUGACACCUGCCCCCUGCCUGCGGCCCACAGGCAGGCCCGUUGCCCGUCGAAGAGGUGAAGGGCAGGACUGUGGUGACCUGGGAGCAAUACCAGAGAAAGGAGGCAGAGGGCAGCACCGGCAGCAACAUUGGAAAUGUGGAAUCUAAGCUGGUAACUUCCCCUUCAAAACAAACAAAAAAAAAACAACAACAACAAAAUGCUAAAAAACCCAACAAUUAGUUUUGUUUUCUUAAAGCCGCUUGUGGACGUCCCGGUGCCAAAAAGCCCGUCUGUGCUUGGCGCUCGGCGUUCC